rnacentral:rRNA from 1 species
GCGGGCCUAAUACAUGCAAGUCGAGCGGUAACAGGGGAGCUUGCUCCCGCUGACGAGCGGCGGACGGGUGAGUAAAGUCUAGGAAUCUGCCCAGUAGUGGGGGACAACGCGGGGAAACUCGCGCUAAUACCGCAUACGCCCUACGGGGGAAAGGUGCUUUAUUGUACCGCUAUUGGAUGAGCCUAGAUCAGAUUAGCUAGUUGGUGGGGUAAAGGCCCACCAAGGCGACGAUCUGUAGCUGGUCUGAGAGGAUGAUCAGCCACACUGGGACUGAGACACGGCCCAGACUCCUACGGGAGGCAGCAGUGGGGAAUAUUGGACAAUGGGGGAAACCCUGAUCCAGCCAUGCCGCGUGUGUGAAGAAGGUCUUCGGAUUGUAAAGCACUUUAAGUUGGGAGGAAGGGGUGAAGUAAUGACUCACCUUUGACGUUACCAACAGAAUAAGCACCGGCUAACUUCGUGCCAGCAGCCGCGGUAAUACGAAGGGUGCAAGCGUUAAUCGGAAUUACUGGGCGUAAAGCGCGCGUAGGUGGUUUAUCAAGUUGGAUGUGAAAUCCCUGGGCUCAACCUAGGAACUGCAUCCAAAACUGAUUGACUAGAGUAUAGUAGAGGUUAGUGGAAUUUCCUGUGUAGCGGUGAAAUGCGUAGAUAUAGGAAGGAACACCAGUGGCGAAGGCGACUAACUGGACUAAUACUGACACUGAGGUGCGAAAGCGUGGGGAGCAAACAGGAUUAGAUACCC